rnacentral:rRNA from 1 species
GACAGGAGGGUGCAAACGUUUGUUCGGAAUUACUGGGCGUAAAGCGCGUGUAGGCGGCCCUGCAAGUCGGGUGUGAAAUCCCACCGGCUCAACCGUGGAAGUGCACUCGAAACUGCAGGGCUAGAGUCCUGGAGAGGAAGGUGGAAUGCUUGGAUGUAGAGGUGAAAUUCGUAGAUAUCAAGCGGAAACACCGGUGGCGAAGGGCGGCCUUCUGGGACAGUGA